rnacentral:rRNA from 1 species
AGUGAACGCUGGCGGUAGGCCUAACACAUGCAAGUCGAACGGCAGCACAGUAAGAGCUUGCUCUUACGGGUGGCGAGUGGCGGACGGGUGAGGAAUACAUCGGAAUCUACUUUUUCGUGGGGGAUAACGUAGGGAAACUUACGCUAAUACCGCAUACGACCUACGGGUGAAAGCAGGGGAUCUUCGGACCUUGCGCGAUUGAAUGAGCCGAUGUCGGAUUAGCUAGUUGGCGGGGUAAAGGCCCACCAAGGCGACGAUGCGUAGCUGGUCUGAGAGGAUGAUCAGCCACACUGGAACUGAGACACGGUCCAGACUCCUACGGGGGGCAGCAGUGGGGAAUAUUGGACAAUGGGCGCAAGCCUGAUCCAGCCAUACCGCGUGGGUGAAGAAGGCCUUCGGGUUGUAAAGCCCUUUUGUUGGGAAAGAAAAGCAGCAGGUUAACACCGCGCUGUUCUGACGGUACCCAAAGAAUAAGCACCGGCUAACUUCGU